CAUAGGAGAAGUCGUAACAAGGUUUCCGUAGGUGAACCUGCGGAAGGAUCAUUGUCGAACCUGCUUCAUGCAAAAACGACCCGCGAAUAAGUUCUUACGUUUUGGUGGGGCGAGGAUGGCUCGUUCGCGACCAUUCUCGUCCCGCUCCUAACAACCAAAGGCGCGGGAUGCGCCAAGGAAAAUCGAAACGAAUCUGACUCCUGCCUCGGUGCAUUGCAUCGUGUCGGCGAGUGUAUUCGAUAAGUCAUAACGACUCUCGGCAACGGAUAUCUCGGCUCUCGCAUCGAUGAAGAACGUAGCAAAAUGCGAUACGUGGUGUGAAUUGCAGGAUCCCGUGAACCAUCGAGUUUUUGAACGCAAGUUGCGCCCGAAGCCUUUAGGCCGAGGGCACGUCUGCCUGGGCGUCACGCACUGUUGCCCCCCAAACCCCCUCAGUCCUCCACGGAGGAUUGGCGAGGCGCGUGGGGGGCGUAAAGUGGCUUCCCGUCGGCUUUGUCCCGCGGUUGGCCUAAAAAUGAAUCCCUAGCCGCGGUGCGCGCGGCAUUCGGUGGUCAACGAUAGCUUUCGUUACCCCGUCGUGCGCUCCCGCGUUGCAAAGGAUGUCACCGAUGUAACCUGAUGCCUAGCUCUGCGAAGAGCGCAGCUUACAACGCGACCCCUGGUCAGGCGGGGCUACCCGCUGAAUUUAAGCAUAUCAAUAAGCGG
rnacentral:rRNA from 1 species